CUGAACCAGCCAAGUAGCGUGAAGGAUGACUGCCCUAUGGGUUGUAAACUUCUUUUAUAUGGGAAUAAAGUGGUCCACGUGUGGAUUUUUGUAUGUACCAUAUGAAUAAGGAUCGGCUAACUCCGUGCCAGCAGCCGCGGUAAUACGGAGGAUCCGAGCGUUAUCCGGAUUUAUUGGGUUUAAAGGGAGCGUAGGCGGAUUGUUAAGUCAGUUGUGAAAGUUUGCGG
rnacentral:rRNA from 1 species